rnacentral:sRNA from 1 species
UAAGUGAUGCAGUAGCAACCAAAGUGUU